rnacentral:rRNA from 1 species
UGGUGGGUAGUUUGACUGGGGCGGUCUCCUCCUAAAGAGUAACGGAGGAGCACGAAGGUUGGCUAAUCCUGGUCGGACAUCAGGAGGUUAGUGCAAUGGCAUAAGCCAGCUUGACUGCGAGCGUGACGGCGCGAGCAGGUGCGAAAGCAGGUCAUAGUGAUCCGGUGGUUCUGAAUGGAAGGGCCAUCGCUCAACGGAUAAAAGGUACUCCGGGGAUAACAGGCUGAUACCGCCCAAGAGUUCAUAUCGACGGCGGUGUUUGGCACCUCGAUGUCGGCUCAUCACAUCCUGGGGCUGAAGUAGGUCCCAAGGGUAUGGCUGUUCGCCAUUUAAAGUGGUACGCGAGCUGGGUUUAGAACGUCGUGAGACAGUUCGGUCCCUAUCUGCCGUGGGCGCUGGAGAAUUGAGGGGGGCUGCUCCUAGUACGAGAGGACCGGAGUGGACGCAUCACUGGUGUUCGGGUUGUCAUGCCAAUGGCACUGCCCGGUAGCUAAAUGCGGAAGAGAUAAGUGCUGAAAGCAUCUAAGCACGAAACUUGCCCCGAGAUGAGUUCUCCCUGACUCCUUGAGAGUCCUGAAGGAACGUUGAAGACGACGACGUUG